rnacentral:tRNA from 1 species
GGGGAUGUAGCUUAAUGAUAGAGCGCUCGCCUCCCAUGCGAGAGGCACCCGGGUUCGAACCCCGGCAUCUCCA